UACGUAGGCAGCAAGCGUUGUUCGGAGUUACUGGGCGUAAAGGGCGUGUAGGCGGCCUUUUAAGUCAGACGUGAAAACCCUGGGCUUAACCCAGGACCUGCGUUUGAUACUGAAGGGCUUGAGGACCGGAGAGGACAGUGGAAUUCCCAGUGUAGCGGUGAAAUGCGUAGAUAUUGGGAGGAACACCAGUGGCGAAGGCGACUGUCUGGACGGCACCUGACGCUGAGACGCGAAAGCGUGGGGAGCGAACAGG
rnacentral:rRNA from 1 species